UACAGAGGUCUCAAGCGUUGUUCGGAUUCAUUGGGCGUAAAGGGUGUGUAGGUGGCGCCGUAAGUCGGGUGUGAAAUUUCGGAGCUUAACUCCGAAACUGCAUUCGAUACUGCGGUGCUUGAGGACUGGAGAGGAGACUGGAAUUCAUGGUGUAGCAGUGAAAUGCGUAGAGAUCAUGAGGAAGACCAGUGGCGAAGGCGGGUCUCUGGACAGUUCCGUGACGCUGAGGCACGAAAGCGUGGGGAGCGAACAGG
rnacentral:rRNA from 1 species